UAAUCAGCUGGGGUUUCCUUAGGGAGGUUGGAAGGUUUGUUCUUUCUCUCUUUGCAGUAAAUCUUGCAGGUGUGUGUUUUUUGGGUUCAUGCUGCUUGUAUGAGCUGUGAUGAUUACCAUGAAAAUUUGCAGCUUCACUUUUAAAACCAGUGAGAGCACAAACCCACCGGGAGGAACAAGCAAUUCCAGACGUACUGCUUUAGGAGGUGUAACACUCACCGGCGAGGUUUGUAGCUUCACUCCUGAGCCAGUGAGACCACGAAUCCACCAGCAGGAAAAAAAGAUUCCAAACAUGUCUGAAUGUCAGAAGAAACAAUUUCCAAACACACUGCCUUUAAGAACUGUAACACUCCCUGUGAGGGUCUAUGGCUUCAUUCUUUAAGUCAGUGAGACUAAGACGCCACCAAUUCGGGGCACAUUGGGACUAUAGUUACUGCCACCAUGCACAUCUAAACAACGUUCUGGAAUAUCUUCUUGCUUUGGUCAACCACCAGGCAUGGGAAAAUGGCUUCAUCGGUUGUCUUUCCACAAACAAGAUUCUAACUCAAAUAGCUCAAAGGACACCUUCUCCGGGAAACCUUCCCUGACUUCCGACGCUGUUUCCUGUUUAACUUCAGAAACUGGGGGUGUCUAAUGUCUGCAACAUAACAGGACUAUUGUAGGAAAUUCUGAGACUCUAUAAGCACUUUUAAAUGUGAAAAUUAAGAAGGCAUCCCAGAAAUGAAUGGGUCCAGUGCUCUGAUUUAAGAGUGUGUGACCUGUCGUCAUUCAUCCAGCAGACCCAAGCAGGCUUAGAGAAAGUAAGACGGACCCAUGAUGUACAUUAGAACACAGCAACUAUUUGAGUGAAAUAAGUAUUUUUAUUUAUUUCAAGAGGAAAGCAAAGUCGAAGGGUGUUCAGGGCUACAGUUUUGCUUGACCAGAUGUUGCCAAGUUUCAAAGUCAAAUCGGUUCAUCUCCUGGCUAUCAGCUAAAGGGUGUUGUAUUUGUAAGCAUUGAGAACUUCUAUCUACUGCUAUUGUAUUUUGCAUAUUUGUAUUUUCUGAGUUCUAUUUGAGAGAGACGGAAUUACGCAUUUCCAUAUGGAUCAUCCUCUUCCCUAUGUAUGUUGCUUUAUUGCCUUUUGGAAGAAAAAAAGUGAGAGUUGCAGUCUGUAUUUAGGCCAUUUCUAUGUUCUUUAUUGGGUUACGUUUGAAUGCCCAAUUUGAUCUCAAUGGCACGUCCUUUGUAACAUAAAAUAAAACAUGGUGCUCAGGAAAAGUAACGACACACACAUCCAGGCCCUUUCAUAGCAGUUGGUAAAGCUUAAGCCUUGCCUCUCUGUGUGGUAGUUUCCCUUCCCUUUCUUUUCGUUCCCUGUGACAAGCAGCCAUUGUCCCCUUGGUGAGAUCUGCAAUAUUACUUUGACCCCAGCCCAUCAAUCUGCCUCAAUUGGAUAAUGAUCUGUAAUCACGUUCUUUCAGGGGAGUCUAUAAAUUUGCCAAGGCCCCAUUCUCUUCUGAAGGACUCCUUAUGUUCACUCCCAUUUGUGCAAAUGUGCUCUCUUUUACAGGGCUAAAUAGCCAUGCACAUGGUCCAUUCUGUGAGGAGGCACCGGGCGGUUCUCUGUUGAUUUUCCACGCUCUAGUCUCUUAAAGGAGACUAAGGCUGACAUGCAGGGACACAGUGGGGGGGUGGCCCGAGCCAGGCCACAUCACAGGCAGCCGCUUUUCUCAUUAAGACUGACCCAUCAUUAGGUCACUUUGUGCCAUCCUUGUAAUCAAUGAGCUUAAUGUUUAGUGCAAAAAAAAAAAAAGUUAUUUAAGGAAAGGAGCUGGGAGCUGGAAGAGGAAAAGAGGAAAGAAAAAUGGUAGGAAGCAUGGAGAAAUUCACCACUUCUAAAUCUUAGGGUUGGUUAUACUUUGCCCAAAGGGUAGGAUGAACUCAAAUAUGCUACAUGUGAUUCCUCAAACAACCGCUUCCAGUCCUGUUUGUUUUCUGUAAAACGUAAAUAUUCUUAGACGCAACAUUUCCCCCAGGGGCCCCGCACUUCUCAUGAAGUCAGAUGAAGUGCUCUGUCUAUAACCGAGGCUGAAUCUGCAUUUGCUGGGAACCCUGUAGUGGUGAAGAGAGAGGUGGUCAAAGUCCGUGAGCAAUUGGGGUGGUUUUGGAGGGGUAAUUGGAUUUUGUUUAUUGUUGGAUCCCAAAGAGUUUCAUGACCACAGCCAAAUACAGCAAA
ensembl:lncRNA HULC hepatocellular carcinoma up-regulated long non-coding RNA